GUCUAUGGCCAUGCCACCCUGAACAAGCCCAAUCCCAUCUGAUCUUGGAAGCUAAGCAGGGUCGGGCCUGGUUAGUACUUGGAUGGGAGACCACCUAGGAAGACCAGGUGCUGUAGGUA
rnacentral:rRNA from 1 species